GAUAAACGCUGGCGGCGUGCCUAAUACAUGUAAGUCGAACGAAGGACUUGUAGCAAUACGGGUUCUUAGUGGCGAAUGGGUGAGUAACGCGUUGGUGACCUACCCCGAAGAGGGGGAUAACAGUUCGAAAGGACUGCUAAUACCCCAUGUGGUCAAGGGAUUUAGAAAGCCUUGUCUAAAGGAGUAAUCCGCUUCGGGAGGGGCCUGCGUCCCAUCAGCUAGUUGGCAGGGUAAUGGCCUACCAAGGCUACGACGGGUAGGGGGCCUGAGAGGGUGGCCCCCCACAUUGGCACUGAAACACGGGCCAAACACCUACGGGUGGCAGCAGUGGGGAAUAUUGCACAAUGGGCGAAAGCCUGAUGCAGCAACGCCGCGUGCGCGAUGAAGGCCUUCGGGUCGUAAAGCGCUUUUUGAGGAGAUGAGGAAGGACAGUAUCCUCAGAAUAAGGAUCGGCUAACUACGUGCCAGCCGCCGCAGUAACAC
rnacentral:rRNA from 1 species